rnacentral:misc_RNA from 1 species
GUUUCCGUAGGUGAACCUGCGGAAGGAUCAUUAACGUAUUACAGUUAAAAUGUAUGCUCUACGAAGCAUCGUCUGUUUUACAAAAAUAUAUAAUAUUUUUUUAUGUCUAUUUAAUUAUAAUAAUUAAAUGCAUAGAAAAUAUUUUUUUGAACGAGCCAAACAAAAAUUAAUUUUUUUGACUUUGGUGUACUAUUUAAAAAGAUGUCUGCCGUGGUAACCUUGUAAAGGAGCAGUAUUGCCAUUAUGAGUCGUAUCUUGUAUAAAAUAACAAGUACGCCUUUGUGCUUAUUAAUGCUGUUCCGUGGUUUUUCAAUGAAUUUUCGCCCGGCGCCUUAAAUGGCAUCUUUAUGCUAGCGUUACGCGCGUUUGGUAUAAAUAUUGUAGAAAAAUUAAUUUUUUUCUUUAUUUAAUAUCCAGGCGUUAGCGUAUCAGCCGGCCGGUGCAUUUGUCGUUUGAAAUUUUAUAUUUCUUACUGACAUUAAUGCACCAAACCGCUUUGAAGCAAAACAUUUUUAAAAUUUAUUUUUUAAAAAAUAUUUGUCUAUCAAAAACGGCUUAUCGAAUUCUGAAAAAUUAUAUAAUUUAUAUAAAUGAUUACCCUGAACGGUGGAUCACUUGGCUCGUGGGUCGAUGAAG